GCUCGCCUCACCGGGAGAGAACGCGCAGCCAGGGCAGAGCGCGGCCGGGGGCCGACAGCGCGCGGAGCCGGCGGAAGGGCGGGAAGCGGUCAUUUCCCCCCAAGCAAGUGCGCUUUUCAGGUGGGCCGCCUGGGGGCUCUCCCGCCGGCUCUUGCCCAACUGGGGUCUGGGCCAGACCCCGCCGCGGGUCGCGGGCAGCGGCUGGGAUCCGGCGUGGGGAAGGCGCUCCAUCGUUACGACCUCCGCCUCGCCCAGGCUCUUCCUACGCGAUAUUCGGGUACCCUCGCCACACUGUUCCGCGGCGCGCUCAUCCCAGGGUCGGCACCUCCAGUACCGCCCGGAGCUACCGACCGACGGACGCACAGACGCUCCCGCAGGGAUCCAGGCGCCGGGCGAGGACAACGGUCCCCCAGAGCCUGGGCUCCGGGCUCUGGACAUGGAGCAUCGGGGUGAAUGAGCCCAGAUUCACAGACCCGAGGAGGCCGGGCUACAACUCCUGGGAGAAUGAGGUUGGCCUAGUUGAAUUUGACGACGCUGACUGUUACAGGGCCAAGGAGGGCAUAAUAAAUCAUGGCAUUUGGAGAACAUCCUGAGUUCAAAGGGGAUUUGUCUGGUAACUGUAACAAUUUACUCUGUAAUAGAAUGUAACAGGGAGCUGCUGCCUGAAAACACAUUUUCUUAACUGUAUUAUUCCAAAUAAGUUGGUCUUGUC